GUGGGGAAUCUUGCGCAAUGGGCGAAAGCCUGACGCAGCCAUGCCGCGUGAAUGAUGAAGGUCUUAGGAUUGUAAAAUUCUUUCACCGGGGACGAUAAUGACGGUACCCGGAGAAGAAGCUCCGGCUAACUUCGUGCCAGCAGCCGCGGUAAUACGAAGGGGGCUAGCGUUGCUCGGAAUUACUGGGCGUAAAGGGCGCGUAGGCGGACAGUUUAGUCAGAGGUGAAAGCCCAGGGCUCAACCUUGGAAUUGCCUUUGAUACUGGCUGUCUUGAGUUUGGGAGAGGUGAGUGGAACUCCGAGUGUAGAGGUGAAAUUCGUAGAUAUUCGGAAGAACACCAGUGGCGAAGGCGACUCACUGGCCCAAUACUGACGCUGAGGCGCGAAAGCGUGGGGAGCAAACAGGAUUAGAUACCCUGGUAGUC
rnacentral:rRNA from 1 species